UUUAAAGAUUAUUAAGCAGGGCAGCCCAGG
rnacentral:piRNA from 1 species